rnacentral:rRNA from 1 species
UACGGGGGGUGCGAGCGUUGUCCGGAAUCACUGGGCGUAAAGGGCGCGUAGGUGGUUUGAUAAGGGUGUGGUGAAAGUCCGGAGCUCAACUCCGGAUCUGCCGUGCCGACUGUCAAACUCGAGGGCUGUAGAGGCAGACGGAAUUCCGGGUGUAGCGGUGGAAUGCGUAGAGAUCCGGAGGAAGACCGGUGGCGAAGGCGGUCUGCUGGGCUGUUGCUGACGCUGAGGCGCGACAGCGUGGGGAGCAAACAGG